UUAAGUUUCUUCCCCAUGAUAAUGUUCCGAAUUGACUUUCUUUUCUAAAUUUCGAUAUCAAACAACUCUUCUGCAAACUGUACCAAAUAUAGGCAAGAACGAUGUUCAGACCUUCAUAUCCAUGCAGGGUAUGCAUUAUUCACGUUGGUGGCUGUUGAGGAUGGCGGUUAGAGUCUUGGUAGAAUAUACAUCAUACUUCUCUUUUGUGCAAUACUACUCUGGCGUUUUUUGUUCAUUCUUUUUGCAUCCGGGAUCUGGAACAAGGUCGGAUAAAGGGAUCGAGGAUGGCAAUGAGAAUAAUAUGCAGGGGAAUAGGAAAUGAAAGAGGCUGAACUCUAUGGGAUGCCCAGUGUUGUAGCAUUCUAAAUUAACUAUGAUAUUUUUUGAGACAAUGUCUCUGGCCGAUACAGGUAUCGCCGAUACUUUAUGCUCAAUGACAGUGAUUAGAAUAUGAAUUGAUAAAGUAAUUUAUUUUAUACCCUUUGUAGGUAGUGUUGUGGCUUGGUAAAUAUUUUUGAUAAUCAACUGGUUGCUUGCAGAAUUUAAAACUAUAUGGUAGACCAUGGAGCAAUUUUUUUGGAUAUUCUAGCUAAGGAUAAAUGCAUAAAGGUUUCAUCAACUAAGCAUUUAAUAGUGAUAGUUGUAUUUGUUGCGGAAGCCAAAUGUAUAUAGUGUGAAUAAGUCACAACUACUAUACCAA